GAUGAACGCUGGCGGCGUGCUUAACACAUGCAAGUCGAACGAUAAAGCCCAGCUUGCUGGGUGGAUUAGUGUCGAACGGGUGAGUAACACGUGAGUAACCUGCCCUUAACUCUGGGAUAAGCCUGUGAAACUGUGUCUAAUACCGGAUAGGAGCGUCCACCGCAUGGUGGGUGUUGGAAAGAUUUAUCGGUUUUGGAUGGACUCGCGGCCUAUCAGCUUGUUGGUGAGGUGAUGGCCCACCAAGGCGACGACGGGUAGCCGGCCUGAGAGGGUGACCGGCCACACUGGGACUGAGACACGGCCCAGACUCCUACGGGAGGCAGCAGUGGGGAAUAUUGCACAAUGGGCGGAAGCCUGAUGCAGCGACGCCGCGUGAGGGAUGACGGCCUUCGGGUUGUAAACCUCUUUCAGUAGGGAAGAAGCGAAAGUGACGGUACCUGCAGAAGAAGCACCGGCUAACUACGUG
rnacentral:rRNA from 1 species